rnacentral:misc_RNA from 1 species
CUCGCAGGACCCGCCUACUACCUCGUUCCACAGCUUCUGGAGAUCCAGCUGUCCUCGCGAGUCCAGGAGAAGGAGGCUGGAGACUCACUCUACGUGGGCAUGUGCGGGCACUGAUGAGGAGGCAGAGAUGGCUUUCGGCGGGUCAGGAGUGACGGCGCGCCCAACUGCAGCAACUCCUCCGCUUUGCGAGCAAGGCACCUCCACGACCCUUCCUGCU